AUACGGAGGAUGCGAGCGUUAUCCGGAUUCAUUGGGUAUAAAGCGUGCGUAGGCGGCCCCCCAAGUCAGCGGUGAAAUGUCCGGGCCCAACCCGGAGGGUGCCGUUGACACUGCGGGGCUGGAGUACGGACGCCGGCGGAGGAAUGAGGGGUGCAGGGGGGAAAUGCCUAGAAAUAACUGAGAACACCGAUUGCGAAGGCAUCCGCCGAGGCCGUUACUGACGCUGAGACACGAAAGCGUGGGGAUAGAACAGGAUUAGAUACCCUGGUAUUCCACGCCGUAAACGAUGAUGACUAGCCGCCGGGGGGUAGACUUCCGGCAGCCAAGCGAAAGCGAUAAGUCAUCCACCUGGGGAGUACGGCCGCAAGGCUGAAACUCAAAUGAAUUGGCGGGG
rnacentral:rRNA from 1 species